UACGAAGGGGGCUAGCGUUGUUCGGAAUUACUGGGCGUAAAGCGCGCGCAGGCGGUCUUCCAAGUCAGUGGUGAAAGCCCGGAGCUCAACUCCGGAACUGCCAUUGAAACUGUUGGACUUGAGUACGAGAGAGGUGAGUGGAAUUCCCAGUGUAGAGGUGAAAUUCGUAGAUAUUGGGAAGAACACCGUGGCGAAGGCGGC
rnacentral:rRNA from 1 species